rnacentral:rRNA from 1 species
AUGCCGAAGAUGCUGCAGGCGGCCAGGUACCUGCUGGGCUCCCCGGGCGCCAGCGGGUUCGGCUCCAAGUCCACCGCCGAGGAGGUCACGGCGGCGUGCCCCGACCUCGGCUCGCUCACCGCCAUCAUCACCGGCGCGACGUCGGGGAUCGGGGCGGAGACGGCGCGUGUGCUGGCCAAGCGGGGUGCCAGGGUGGUCAUCCCGGCGCGGAGCGUCAAGGCGGCCGAGGACAUGCGCGCGCGCAUCCUAGCCGAGUGCCCGGGCGCCGACGUCCUCGUGCUGCACCUGGACCUCAGCUCGCUCGCCUCCGUCCGGGACUUCGCUCGCCGCUUCCUCUCCCUCGGCCUGCCCCUCCACCUCCUCAUCAACAACGCCGGCAAGUUCUCGCACGGCCAGCUCGCGCUGUCCGAGGACGGCGUCGAGAUGACCUUCGCCACCAACUAUCUGGGCCAUUUCCUGCUGACGAAGCUCCUGCUGGGGAGGAUGGCGGAGACGGCUGCGGAGACGGGGGUGCAGGGGCGCAUCGUGAACGUGUCGUCCAGCGUGCACGGCUGGUUCUCCGGCGACUGGGCCGACUACCUCCAGCUCGUCACCCGCCGCAAGAUACCCUACGACGCGACGCAGGCCUACGCGGUGUCCAAGCUCGCCAACGUGUUGCACACCAAGGAGCUCGCCGCCCGCCUCCAGGAGAUGGGCGCGGACGUGACGGUGAACUGCGUGCACCCGGGCAUCGUGAGGACGCGCCUCAACCGCGACCGAGAGGGCCUCAUCACAGAUCUCGUCUUCGUGCUGCUCUCCAAGCUGCUCAAGACCACCCCCCAGGCUGCGGCGACCACGUGCUACGCGGCGGUGCACCCGAGGCUGGCCGGCGUGUCAGGCCGCUACUUGGCCGACUGCAACGAGGCGCUGCCGUCGCCGGCUGCCGCAAGCCGCCGCGAGGCCGCGCGGCUCUGGCAGGCGUCGGAGGACAUGAUCAGCGGCUCCAGUAGUCAACAGGGAAGCACGAAGGAGAGGAACAUCUGA